UACGGGGGGGGCAAGCGUUGUUCGGAAUUACUGGGCGUAAAGGGCUCGUAGGCUGCCAACUAAGUCAGACGUGAAAUCCCUCGGCUUAACCGGGGAACUGCGUCUGAUACUGGAUGGCUUGAGAUUGGGAGAGGGAUGCGGAAUUCCAGGUGUAGCGGUGAAAUGCGUAGAUAUCUGGAGGAACACCGGUGGCGAAGGCGGCAUCCUGGACCGGCAUUGACGCUGAGGCGCGAAAGCUAGGGGAGCAAACGGG
rnacentral:rRNA from 1 species